rnacentral:rRNA from 1 species
AUGCACGCUGGCGGCGUGCCUCAUACAUGCAAGUCGAGCGAACAGACGAGGAGCUUGCUCCUCUGACGUUAGCGGCGGACGGGUGAGUAACACGUGGCUAACCUACCUAUAAGACUGGGAUAACUUCGGGAAACCGGAGCUAAUACCGGAUAAUAUAUUGAACCGCAUGGUUCAAUAGUGAAAGACGGUUUUGCUGUCACUUAUAGAUGGAUCCGCGCCGCAUUAGCUAGUUGGUAAGGUAACGGCUUACCAAGGCAACGAUGCGUAGCCGACCUGAGAGGGUGAUCGGCCACACUGGAACUGAGACACGGUCCAGACUCCUACGGGAGGCAGCAGUAGGGAAUCUUCCGCAAUGGGCGAAAGCCUGACGGAGCAACGCCGCGUGAGUGAUGAAGGUCUUCGGAUCGUAAAACUCUGUUAUUAGGGAAGAACAAAUGUGUAAGUAACUAUGCACGUCUUGACGGUACCUAAUCAGAAAGCCACGGCUAACUACGUG